CCCCCAAACUCAAACCAAGCUUUCCCUUUGUGAUAUGGAACCUUGCAGUACAAUGUCAUAAAGAUCCAUACACUUACACACAAGUUAUUGUCAUGAAACUAGAAAAAUGCUUGUUUUUUUGCCCCUUUAUGGCCCCUAAUUCCUAACAUUUUGAGACAAUUACCCCCAAAAACAAUCCCAGCCUUCCCUUUGUGGUAUGGUACCUUGCAGUACAAUUUCAGAGAGAUCCAUACACUUGAACACAAGUUAUUGUCUGGAAACUAGAAAAAUGCUUAUUUUUUGGCCCCUUUUUGGCCCCUUAUUCCUAAACGUUUUGGGCAAGUACCCCCAAACUCAAUUCCAGCUUUCCCUUUGUGAUAUGGAACCUUGUAGUACAAUUUCAUAAAUAUCCAUACACUUACACACAAGUUAUUGUCAUGAAACUAGAAAAAUGCUUGUUUUUUGCCCCCUAAUUCCUAAAAUUUGGAGGCAAUUACCCCCAAAAUCAAUCCCAGCAUUCAAACCCUCAAUCAGCAUCAUUUAACAGUAAUAUCUAAUAAAAUGCUCCGCUGGGGCGCAGCUUGAUACGACCGCAGAGGUCAAACCCUGAACAGUUGGGGCAAGUAUGGACACAACAUUCAAGCUUGAUACAGCACUGAAUUUGGAUUGUAAUUAAAUAUUUGACACAGCAUAGGUUUCUGACACAGAAUGAAUGUGGUCCAAGAACUUAAAAAUUUUUAAUUUACCUAUUCAAACCAUAUCAUUAUUAUUUGCUUUUAUAUAUAAAUCAGAAAUAACCAAUUUAAAAUGGAAAA